UGGUUACGCGAUGAUGGUCGCAUCAAUUCAAAGACAAUUUGCAGGAACAAGAUCUCCUAACUAGCAGCUUCAAAAUGCCAAAAGAGCGGAUCGUGUCAGUCAUGGCGUGUGCAUGUUCCAGGCUGUAAUGCUUUCAUUAUUUUCCUCAGAAUGCACUAGUAAGUGUUUAGUGCUAACCACAUGGCUGCCACAUAAAUGCACAUGCAUGCAGGACACAUAAGUAUGCACAAUGCAGGCACACACACACACAUAAAAUAGGAUGACUUGAUCCCGUCCGUCAGCAAAGAGUCUGCGUCAACCACCCGCUGCUCCCACCUCCACCUACGUAUACAACCAACCAUCAACCAUAGGAUGUUUAAGCCCAUCUCUCCAGAGGUCACCUUGGCUUGUUUACUUGACUGGAGUGGACGCUCAGUGAACAUCUCACCUACCAACGUGUGUUCAGCUCUCAACUCAUUUCCUACUGGAUCCUCAGUCAGUGUGGGUUUUUGGACCAGUUGCACCUCACGGGCCGAGCCACCAAUCCUGAACGCGCCUGUACGCACCAAGUACUCACCCAGCAACUACCAGACACGUGAAGAAACAGGCCGCCUCCUAUUGGCUCCGCCUGACACAGCCAUGGACGGGAUGGGAUCCUGGAAGCGGGGGCCGGAUGAUUGGGAGGUUUGGCUGAGGUGACAAAGAGCUGAUCGAUCCCCGGCUGCAGGAGGCCGAGCCGGGGGAACAGGCUCCAAAAGCCUGACUGUCACGCACACUGCAUACACAGGUACAUAAAAAACAUAAGGCCCACGCGGAGGGACAAUCCGCUCUGGCCUUCAUUGCGUUAGGCAGACGUAUACUAAACUGGAGAAAAUUGUUGAGUAUGAAAGUUGUCUGAUUAAAUAAUUGAUUCUGAUUCUCACA